AUUGAACGCUGGCGGCAUGCCUUACACAUGCAAGUCGAACGGUAACAGGUCUUCGGAUGCUGACGAGUGGCGAACGGGUGAGUAAUACAUCGGAACGUGCCCGAUCGUGGGGGAUAACUACUCGAAAGAGUAGCUAAUACCGCAUACGAUCUACGGAUGAAAGCGGGGGAUCUUCGGACCUCGUGCGGACGGAGCGGCCGAUGGCAGAUUAGGUAGUUGGUGGGAUAAAAGCUUACCAAGCCGACGAUCUGUAGCUGGUCUGAGAGGACGACCAGCCACACUGGGACUGAGACACGGCCCAGACUCCUACGGGAGGCAGCAGUGGGGAAUUUUGGACAAUGGGCGAAAGCCUGAUCCAGCAAUGCCGCGUGCAGGAUGAAGGCCUUCGGGUUGUAAACUGCUUUUGUACGGAACGAAAAGACUUCUUCUAAUACAGGGGGUCCAUGACGGUACCGUAAGAAUAAGCACCGGCUAACUACGUGCCAGCCGCCGCGGUAAUAC
rnacentral:rRNA from 1 species